UCACAACUUCUCCGCCAAGUUCAUCCAUCCAAAACCUUGAGGACAAGGUUGCUCUGCAGGGGUUGACUAUUGAUACGUGAUUCACAAGCACAAGGCCCAUUAGAAGGACAUCUAGGCCCAUUUGGUUAAAGGAUUAUAUCUAGAAGGAUCUCUUUUGUCUUUUGUAGGGAUUGGAUCCCCUUUUCUGUUAUAGCUUUUCAAUAUUUUCAGCACAGCUGUCUAUGAGGACAAAUAAUUUUCAAAGGGUAUUAUAUACCCCACUAGACUAGUAGAGUAGGAAUGUUGAUGGUUAUGUUAUUUUUAUCCUAGAAAAGUUGUUUUUAUUCUGAUAUAUCUCUAUCCCAACACUUAUUUUUCUA
rnacentral:lncRNA from 1 species